AAGUUAAAAUUUAGUGGGAUUUAUAAAUAUUACUAAAUAAGUAAAAAAUGUAACUAAAUCUUUUAGCAACACUUAACUUUUAGUGUUGCCAAUGCCUGUGUUGUUGAAUCUUUUAGCAACAUAUGGAAAAAGUGUUGCUGAUGCUCAAGAAUUAGCAACAGUUAACAAAUGUUGCUAAAUAAAAAUUUUAAAUGGGCAACAAUUAAAUGGUGGUGCUUAUUGUUUAAUUAAUUCUUGUAUUAAUUUAGCUAUUAUUUUUUAAAUUAAAUAAAAAUAUUUCAUUAAUUAUAAUUUUUGAUAUUAAUUAAAUUAAAAUAUUAUUACUUUUUGAUUAAUUAUUAUAAUCACAGUUAAUAAUAAUCAAAUAUUACUAAACAAUCACAUAUAAUAGUAUUUUGAAUUAUUGGUAAAAGUAUUUAUUAUAUUAAUAUUAAUUAAUUAUUAUUUAAAAAAUUUAUGAUUAAUCGGUAAUAAUCGAAUAUAUUUAAAAAAAUAAUUACAACUAUAAUAAAAAAAUUCUACUAGUUCUAUA
rnacentral:lncRNA from 1 species